GAAGCAGAGAGAGGCGUCCUUCUACAAGUUGUAGGAAGAGGAGGGGGAGAUUACUGCCAUAUAAGGAAGUUCUAUUUGAUGACCCGAGACAAAGAUGCUCCACGGAUGCCUUGCUGCCUAUGAAGUGAGUAUUGCUGGGAAAACAGACCUUUACUGCCUCUCUUCUCAAAGGCAGCACAUCUGGUUGGCAACUUUCAUGUCUGCAGCUAGCGGCGGGGAAAGGUUACGAUGGCCGGACUAAUGCUCCUUUCAACAGAGAACCACACCCUCAAGUGCAGGGUGUACGUGGCCAACACACGGUCAACAGCACAAACGAGGGAGGAAAUGCGUGUAAGAACAUUUUAAACGUUUUCAUUUAAUAUUUUUAUUGCACUAGCGUGAGGUCCCAAUGCUUUACUUUUCAUCAGCACCCACAGCAAGUAGACUUGGCAAAUACACACAUAUACGGGUGGCACACAGUUCUGAGGGGAAAUGCACGAUUCGAGCAGGGGGAGAUUGCACUCACACACCUUUGAAAAACACUCGUGGAAAAGACGGAACAAAUCUGACCAGGCUCCUACUGGUGAGGAUGCCGGCAGAACUCAGAGCAACCAUAUUCCCCUGGGGAGAGCUUGGCCUGUUUCAGUUCGCUGGGACUCAGGCCUCGCACUGCCAGGGGGAUGGAGAUGUACAUCUGGCACAACUGUGCCUUGUGACGGCCAGGCUGGCAACAACCCCCGAACCCUCGUCGUCCUUUUUGUUAGAUGAGUAGAUGAGUGAAUAAUGGUGUCUUCCACUUGUUUAAA